AUGAGGGUUCAAGUACAGCUUCUUCCUGAGCUGCAGGUUGCUCCCCCCCCUGCCCCUCCCUCUCUUCCUUCCCCUUCUCUGCCUGAGUCCCUGCACCUGUGUUUCACAGUCAUGGAAAUAGGAGUUCCCAUUGUGGCGCAGCAGAAACUAACCCAACUAGUAUCCAUGAGGACACAGGUUCGAUCCCUGGCCUCGAUCAGUGGGUCGGGGAUCCGGCAUUGCGGUGAGCUGUGGUGUAGGUCACAGACAGGCACAGAUCCCACAUUGCUGUGGCUGUGGUGGAGGCCCGGCAGCUACAGCUCCGAUUCGACCCCCAGCCUAGGAACCUCCAUAUGCCCCACAUGCAGCCCAAGCAAAAAACCCACAACCAAACAACAAAAAAUAGUCAUGGAAAUAAACAGCCAUAGGCAACAAAAAAGGAGUGGCCCUUGUAGGACAUGUACAUCUUUCCUCUCCCCACCACGGCUACCCACCACCCAAAGGUGGAGGUUGCGACCCAGUCACUGCUACCUGAGCAAAAGUCGGGUAAUGGAACUCCUCUCAGUUUUUGUUAGCAAUUAGGAGAAUCACCCACAUCGGAGUGUGGAUUGUCUGGGGAGGGUUAAGUCACUCGAAAGCGUAACAGUGUAGAAACGUGAGUAUAUGUUUCCCUUCAAUUAAAACAAAAGUUUAAGAAAAGUAAGUGUGAUGUCUUCGAUGUAAGUGACCUUAAUGAUCACAGCAUUUAUUUUUCACCUGAGCCAAAACCUGCUCCCACUUGGUUGGUUUUCUCAUUGAAAGGCCAGAAUCCUUUCACUUAACACCCUUAAUGAGAGUUACUGGUUGUGGAGGCUGAGUGGAUUGGCAAUAGAAAUGCAAACAGGUCUGUUAAGGGAGGUUGGUGACUCUGAAUACAGACCAGACGACUGCAGCUUUGUCUUUGCAAAUGCUGAGCACUCGUUCAAAUGCAGAAUAUUCCUCUUUUAGGUAGGAGCUGAGAAGCCUUAGAUUUACAGACCUCGUAUUCUUGGUCACCCUUGGGGGUGGAAAUCGCUUUGUUAUAAUGCACAUAACACGUCCUCUCCUGGAUUUUAGCCUCAGUCUGCUGGCUGAGGGCUCAAAUUUUUUUUCUCCUGCUCUGACUUUCCCAGAUUCACGUUUCCAUCACCUGUUUAAAUCUCCAACAAGAUGUUUCAAGUUUAAGAUACAGGAAAUUGGCCUCUUGAUUUCCCCCCACCAAACCCCUGGGACUUGGCACCACACUUCCUGCCGCCUGUCUGUCAGCCAGUGCUGUCGACCUCGUCUACACAAUACUUCAAACCCACCCGCUUCCUCCAUCCCAACGCAGCCGUCUUUUUUUCCUCUUCUUUCUUUUUUAGGGGGGCACCUGCGGCAUAUGGAGGUUCCCAGGCUAGGCAUCGAAUCGGAGCCACACCUACCAGCCACAGCCACAGCCACAGCCACAGCCACAGCCACAGCCAUGCAGGAUCCCUAACCUACUGAGCGAGGCCAGGGAUCUAACUCGCAUCCUCAUGGAUCGUAGUCGGGAUCGUUAGCCACUGAGCCACGGCGGGGACUCUGCCACAGCCAGCUUGCCACAUCUCCAUCGUCCCUCCCCGUCCCCAUCGCGACACCCCCGACCCACGUGCCCGCUCUCCCCAGAGCUUCUCUCCUGUCCAUUCUCUCCAUAGCAGUGAAAGUGAUCCUAAAACGUAAAUCAGAUUGGCUCACACUGGCCCUUUAAAAAGCUUGUACUGAUGCACUGAUAAACACUACAAUGUGGAUGAACCUAGAAAACAUUUUUCUGAGUGAAAAGAAACCGGUCAUGUUGCCGAAACAGCCUCUGUCCACCGUCGCCGAGUAGAAAUGGGAAGACAAGAGUUUUGGAUGAAGGAGAAAAAAAUAACUUUAUUGCUUUGCCAGGCAAAGCAGAGUCGCAGCAGGCUAAUGCCCUUUUAAAGACUAUGCCCCCCCAACCCCCUUGGGAAGAAUUGCGAGGAGUUUUAUAGUAAAAAGGAGAAAAACAGGUUUUCAGAUAGCCAUCAGGAUCGGGACAAACAUGCAUUCUUCUUUCUUUGGGGGGCCUUGGUCAUCAAAGCUGGGGUCGUGACGGUGGUCUUCUGGGUUGUUGCCUAGAAUAACAGGACUUGCAAAAAGGGCAUAUUGAUCAGAGAUGAGAACAAACUAGGAAAGUUCCUGAAAAACAUCAUGUGCUAAUGAUCUUUUUUAACCCACAGGCAAUUGUGCUCAGGGUGCCUCAUCUUUAGCUUAGGGGGGAUUGUGUUUGGGGUGCCAUUAAACCAGCGAGAAGGACAAGGAAGUACUCUAAACUGUGCAGUUUUAAAGUCUUCAUUUCUGAAAGAAGCAUAAGCAAUAGCACUUUUCUCUUAGGUGUAUAAGAUGCCUAUAUCCUUAUGUGUAUCCCUUCAGAGGGAACCGGGAUCCUGCCCCAAGGCUGUACUAUUGUUUUUUGACUCUUCCUCCCUUGUCUUUGCACCCGCUUCCUUCCCUGAUCAGCAACUGUCUGAACCUGUCCCUUGGAACUCAGGGAAGGUCAUGGAAGCUGAAUGAGGGCCAUUUCCUAAGAACAAGAAAUGGGGGACACAGACGGGCUUUUGUGCCCCGGAGUCCCAUGGAGCCCUACUCAGUUACAGUCGCAAAAAGCCGUCUAGUAUACGAUUCCAUUUAUAUGAAGUGUCCAGAAUAGGCAAAUCUGUGGAGACAGAAAGCAGCUUAGUGGUUGCCAGAGGCUGGAGGUUAGGUGGGUGGAGGGAGCGACAGGAAUGCACAUCACAAUGGUGAAUUCUAUGUUAUGUGAGUUUUGCCACAGUUUUAAAAAAAGAAAAGCUCCGGUGGCUUCUUAUUGCAGUCUUUAAAAUCAGACCCCUUAUCAUCGUCCCCAAAGCCCACCCAGCGGCCCCUGGCUCCCUCUCCUUACACUGUGAGCCUCCCCCACAGCCUGCUCUGGGCAACCCUGCCAUGCCUGCCCCCAGCCCCUCUGCUCAGGCUGUCCCCUCCGCCUGUGUCGCCAGCCCCGUCACAGGCCUGGCUCCUUGUGGCCUUUGGCCCUUUCUAUCUCCGCAUCCUCAGCUCUCUGCUUCCUACCUUGCACUGAUCACAACUUUCUCUACUCGCUUCGUUUACUCGGGUUUUCUGUUGCCCCCGUGAAACAGUGUGACUUCUGUGAGGCAGGACUGCGCCUGUUCUCUACUUCCAGAAUCUAGACAGCACCUGGUUACUGCAGACAAUCUUGACAUUUACAGAAUGAGUGGAAAAAAAAUAAUUUUUUUUGAGUGUCAAAAAAAUAAUUCAUUUUGAGUGUCAAAUGAAUGAAUGAAUGAAUGAAGCUUUGAAUGUUAUGUUAAGAAUACAGAACCCUUUCUUUUCUUUCUUUUUUUUUUUUUUUUUUUUUUUUUUUUUUUUGUCUUUUCUGAGGCCUCUUCCCACGGCAUAUGGAGGUUCCCAGGCUAGGGGUCGAAUCGGAGCCAUAGCCGCCGGCCUAUGCCGAAGCUACAGCAACGUGGGAUCUGAGCUGCCUCUGCACCACAGCUCACGGCAACACCGGAUCCUUAACCCACUGAUCAAGGCCAGGGAUCAAACCCGCAAGCUCAUGGUCGGAACCCCUUCUUUGCACUUUGUAGUGGGGAAAAGCACACACACUACCUAUGAAAGGUCACUGGGCAGGAAAUUGGACGUUGUGCGUAUGUCAAACAGGUGUUUCUCAGGAGACUAACUUGUGCUGCUCUUGGGACCUGACGAAAAGCUUCUGGUGACAGAAUGUAAAGCUUAGCCUGUCUCUGAGGAAUAUACACCUUCUUCAGCAGCAAGUUCUUUUAGCACAAAGGCUAAUUCAGGAAAAAUGCAAGUGUUUACAGGCCUCAUUUUUUUUUUCUCGGUCAAGAUGACGUGAGCUUUACUGAAUGCUAUGUAGAGACAAGAUACUCUUACAGUGAGAUAACCUAGUUUACUGACUAGAAGAAUUUCAUUAAAGGAAUUGUAUCAUUGGAGUUCCAUCAUUGGUUAACGAACCCAACUAGUAUCCUUGAGGACGCAGGUUCUAUCCCUGGCCUCAUUCAGUGGGUUAAGGAGCCGGCAUUGACAUGAGCUGUGGUGUAGAUGGCAGACCUGGCUCGGAUCCCCGUAUUGCCGUGGCUGUGGUGUAGGCCGCAGCUACAGCUCUGAUUGGACCCCUAGCCUGGGAACCUCCGUAUGCCCCUGGUGUGGCCCUUUAAAAAAAAGAAAAGAAAAUGCCUACGAUCAUAAACCUUUAAACAGGUUUGCUGUUCUUAGGAUUUUUCCUUUCAAUGUCAGGCCGACACUCCCCUUCCAAGGAGGCCUGGAGGGGAUUGAGGGCCUCUUCUCUCUGUUCUAUGUCCAAGUUUUCUGAAAGGCCAGAGACCUGGCCCUGGCGCUGAGAGUUGGGAUUCCAGGACCGAGAAAGCCACAAACAUGGGUCCUUCCAGCCCUUCCCUGCACACUCUUCACACUACACACGUGCUCACACACACAGAUGCAGAGUGCAGUGGAAUUUCCAGCUUGGACAGGGGGAAGGAAUGUCUAUGGAGGCCCACGAUAGCCAGGCAGCUAAUCCAGCCUGGCGUCAUUCCCAGGGCUGGGCGUCCCUGGUGUCGUCCAGACCAGAGUCCACACCCAGUCACCUCUGAUCAACCAACCGCCCAGCCUCUCAGCUCUUCUCCCGGACCCACCCUCUCUCUCGGGGC
rnacentral:lncRNA from 1 species